GUGUGAGUGGGACGUGGCAGAGCCAUGAAGUGAGUGUGGAGUCCCCAGUCCGUGGUUCCCUCCCAUGAGGGAAACGGCCGGAGAAGGAUGAAGCGAAAGACGAUUCCUUGGUUGGUCUGUCAGCUGUUUGUCUGUAUUUUAUCGACUGGAAUAAGGAUGGGAGUUUGUACUCCAUAGAUUGAGAAGAGGGACCAGAGGAAAGGUGUACAUUCCACCCGACAAAUGAAUGUUGGCCCGUUUCUGUUAUGCUGUGUUUAGUGUGUGAUGAGGUGUACCGGGGCUGGGGGCAUCAUUUGUGUCCACAGUGCCAUUGUGACUGAUGGACAGAGCGCUGGGGAUUAGUGUGGGAAAUUCUGGAGCAUGGAGAAUUACUUGUGGAAAUCUUAAGGCGGUAAUGAACCGAUAAGAAUUUUGUAAACCUCAUGGGAGGC
ensembl:lncRNA